AAACUUUCAACAACGGAUCUCUUGGUUCUGGCAUCGAUGAAGAACGCAGCGAAAUGCGAUAAGUAAUGUGAAUUGCAGAAUUCAGUGAAUCAUCGAAUCUUUGAACGCACAUUGCGCCCCCUGGUAUUCCGGGGGGCAUGCCUGUCCGAGCGUCAUUU
rnacentral:rRNA from 3 species